GGACUUCAAAUGCAGUUCAAGAGUAAAAAUAAAAAAGAUCUCCAAACUCCAGCUGAAAUGUUAGAAUCUGCAGGAGGGCAUAAUUGGACAUCCAAGUGUGCAUUGCUGGUGUUGUUCUUUUUGAGAAACAAUGACUGAAUCCUUUACAUGGUCAAAAGUAACCAUGUAACACUGAUAGUAAAGGGCAUGCAUGGACAACCUGAAAAGAAAUAUCAGGCACCGCCUUUCUUUUGCAAUUGCUCCAAUUUUCGUCUUAAGAGAUUGUAGUUUUCCUUGGUCCCAGGUGCCAUAGGAUCAAGCUUCAGAGAGACUUCAUAGUGCUUCUUUGCUAAGUCAAGAUUUCCCCAGCGAUGAUAAAGCACAGCUAAAUUACCAUGAUAACUGGCAGCAUUUGGAUUGGCUUUAAUUGCCUUGAGGAACAAAGCUUCAGAUUCCUUAUAUUUUUGUGAUUUCCCCAGUACAUUUGCCAGAGAAAACAUAAGGGAAUGAUCAUUAGGUAUUAACUCCAGGGCCUCUCUCCCGACUGCCUCUGCUUGAGCUAGAUUGCCUGUGUUAUCUAGCAAUAUAAUCAUAUUGUUCCAAGCCAAACUAUGCUCUGGUUUCAGAACUGUAGCAUUCCUCCAUGCAUUCAAUGCAUCUAUAUGGCGAUUCAAAUCCGCAUACAACCGCCCUAAAUUGUAGUAACAAUCUGGGUAUUUUUUUCUGUGCUUAAUUGCUGUCCAGUAGCUUUGCUCUGCCUCUUCAAACCUUCUUAAGCUGUUCUGUACUAUUCCCAGAUUCAUCCAUGCAGCAGCAAAAUCAGGUUGUAUUUGUACAGCUAAGGACAGCA
rnacentral:lncRNA from 1 species